GCAAGUCGAGCGGAAACGAGAAGUAGCUUGCUACUUCGGCGUCGAGCGGCGGACGGGUGAGUAAUGCUUGGGAAUAUGCCUUUGAGUGGGGGACAACAGUUGGAAACGAUGGCUAAUACCGCAUAAUGCCUACGGGCCAAAGAGGGGGAUCUUCGGACCUCUCGCGUCAAGAGAUGCCUAGGUGGGAUUAGCUAGUUGGUGAGGUAAUGGCUCACCAAGGCGACGAUCCCUAGCUGGUCUGAGAGGAUGAUC
rnacentral:rRNA from 1 species